AUAAUCUCAAAGAAGGAGAAUAACUUAGGGGGAGCACAGCUAACGCGAACCGGGUGAGUACUGCCGUAAUGUCGUUCCUGCAGUGGAUCGUACUACUCGCUGGUGUUUGCGUUAGCGACGCAAAAGGCUGGAGUCCUAAACUGCCCCCACCCGUGAAAGGCGGCUGGACGGACAUAAACCCAAAGAGCAGUGAGGUUGCGCGGGUGAGAGAUUUUAUCGCAGACAAAAUGAACUCCGCAGAAGGUAUCCGUGAAGUGAAGAAGGUCCUACGAGCAGAGAAACAAGUUGUUGGGGGAUGGAACUACAGGCUGACACUUCUUGUCGUGGAUCGCCGGAUUAUGCUGUGCGCGUCCACGACACCCAUGCCCCUUCAGUUCACUUGCGUGGCACACGUCCAUGAAGCGCUCUCGGCGCCUUCGCUAACACUGUCGUCAAUGAACUGUGUAGAACCAAGGAGACUGACUUCUGGGAGAUGUUAAAGGAAUAAAGAGACCUUGGAUGUGUA